UACAGAGGGGGCAAGCGUUGUUCGGAAUUACUGGGCGUAAAGGGCGCGUAGGCGGCCUUCUAAGUCGAACGUGAAAUCCCUGGGCUCAACCCAGGAACUGCGUCCGAUACUGAAAGGCUUGAAUCCGGGAGAGGGAUGCGGAAUUCCAGGUGUAGCGGUGAAAUGCGUAGAUAUCUGGAGGAAUACCGGUGGCGAAGGCGGCAUCCUGGACCGGCAUUGACGCUGAUGAGCGAAAGCUAGGGGAGCAAACGGG
rnacentral:rRNA from 1 species